rnacentral:rRNA from 1 species
CAGCAGCCGCGGUAAUACAGAGGGUGCGAGCGUUAAUCGGAUUUACUGGGCGUAAAGCGUGCGUAGGCGGCUUCUUAAGUCGGAUGUGAAAUCCCUGAGCUUAACUUAGGAAUUGCAUUCGAUACUGGGAAGCUAGAGUAUGGGAGAGGAUGGUAGAAUUCCAGGUGUAGCGGUGAAAUGCGUAGAGAUCUGGAGGAAUACCGAUGGCGAAGGCAGCCAUCUGGCCUAAUACUGACGCUGAGGUACGAAAGCAUGGGGAGCAAACAGGAUUAGAUACCCCCGUAGUCCCUGUCUCUUAUAC